rnacentral:rRNA from 1 species
GACGAACGCUGGCGGCGUGCUUAACACAUGCAAGUCGAACGGAAAGGCCCUGCUUUUGUGGGGUGCUCGAGUGGCGAACGGGUGAGUAACACGUGAGUAACCUGCCCUUGACUUUGGGAUAACUUCAGGAAACUGGGGCUAAUACCGGAUAGGAGCUCCUGCUGCAUGGUGGGGGUUGGAAAGUUUCGGCGGUUGGGGAUGGACUCGCGGCUUAUCAGCUUGUUGGUGGGGUAGUGGCUUACCAAGGCUUUGACGGGUAGCCGGCCUGAGAGGGUGACCGGCCACAUUGGAACUGAGAUACGGCCCAGACGCCUACGGGAGGCAGCAGUGGGGAAUAUUGCACAAUGGGCGGAAGCCUGAUGCAGCAACGCCGCGUGCGGGAUGACGGCCUUCGGGUUGUAAACCGCUUUCGCCUGUGACGAAGCGUGAGUGACGGUAAUGGGUAAAGAAGCACCGGCUAACUACGUG